CCUACGGGAGGCAGCAGUAGGGAAUCUUCCGCAAUGGACGAAAGUCUGACGGAGCAACGCCGCGUGAGCGAUGAAGGCCUUCGGGUCGUAAAGCUCUGUUGUUAGGGAAGAAUAAGUGCUAGUUAAAUAAGCUGGCACCUUGACGGUACCUAACCAGAAAGCCACGGCUAACUACGUGCCAGCAGCCGCGGUAAUACGUAGGUGGCAAGCGUUGUCCGGAAUUAUUGGGCGUAAAGCGCGCGCAGGCGGUUUCUUAAGUCUGAUGUGAAAGCCCCCGGCUCAACCGGGGAGGGUCAUUGGAAACUGGGAAACUUGAGUGCAGAAGAGGAAAGUGGAAUUCCAAGUGUAGCGGUGAAAUGCGUAGAGAUUUGGAGGAACACCAGUGGCGAAGGCGACUUUCUGGUCUGUAACUGACGCUGAGGCGCGAAAGCGUGGGGAGCAAACAGGAUUAGAUACCCUGGUAGUCCACGCCGUAAACGAUGAGUGCUAAGUGUUAGAGGGUUUCCGCCCUUUAGUGCUGCAGCAAACGCAUUAAGCACUCCGCCUGGGGAGUACGGCCGCAAGGCUGAAACUCAAAGGAAUUGACGG
rnacentral:rRNA from 1 species